GGUGUAUACCACAGUUUGAUCUCGAGGUGAGGCCAUGCAUUGUUGUCAUUUUGACCUGAUGCAUGAACUAAGUUUUUAUGUUUUGGGGUGGAGGAGCUUAAUCUCGAGAAACUACCACAGAGCUCUAAAUAUCACUCGGAAGUCAGCAAGUGAUUGAAAACAGACAGAAGACCAAAAUGAGAGGGACCGGGCCAAAGACUGGAAGAUUACCAGAAAGGAUCCUCUCCGAUAUAUCAGAUAACAUGCUGUCUGUCUGCCAAAUGAAGGCUGGAAACAAAUAUAUUGUGUAAAGGGAGCUCCCAAAGAUCCACAAAGGUCAUUUCAGCAUCACUAUUUUCCAUUAAA